AGCAGCCGCGGUAAUUCCAGCUCCAAUAGCGUAUAUUAAAGUUGUUGCAGUUAAAAAGCUCGUAGUUGAAUUUCGGGGUCAGUAGAUUGGUCGUGCCACUGGUAUGUACUGGUCUUACUGGCUCCUCCUUCCUGAUGAACCGUAAUGCCAUUAAUUUGGUGUUGCGGGGAGACUGGACUGUUACUUUGAAAAAAUUAGAGUGUUUAAAGCAGGCUAACGCUUGAAUACAUUAGCAUGGAAUAAUGAAAUAGGACGUUCGAUCUUAUUUUGUUGGUUUCUAGGAUUGACGUAAUGAUUAAUAGGGAUAGUUGGGGGCAUUAGUAUUCAAUUGUCAGAGGUGAAGUUCUUGGAUUUAUUGAAGACUAACUACUGCGAAAGCAUUUGCCAAGGAUGUUUUCAUUAAUCAAGAACGAAAGUUAGGGGAUCGAAGACGAUCAGAUACCGUCGUAG
rnacentral:rRNA from 1 species